GAGGGUAUAGCUAAGUGGUAGAGCUCCUCAUGCCUAGAUGCAUGAGGUCUUGGGUUCAAUCCUCAGUACCUCCA
rnacentral:tRNA from 1 species